rnacentral:lncRNA from 1 species
CAUGCGGUGCGAGACCCUAGUUAGUCCUAUAGAUAAGAUAUAAUAGGGCUAAAACUCUUAACCUGGUUAUAACAUUUUGGGCAGCUGUUAGGUCCAAGAGGUUAAGAGAGUUAAGUGUGCUCGAUCGGGAUAGAGUAGUCCUAGGAUGGGUGACCUCUUGGAAAGUAGGGCAUCACAAUUGAUAUCAGAGCCAAAUACCAGCUAGAAAUGUGAGAUGAGCCUCACCUGAGUUAGAGUUAUACGGCGGAAAAAGCAAGACUCAUACUGUUGACAGUUGUGGGUAGAGCACAGCUCCCCCACAAUUAAUGUUGAUUAAAGCUAGCGAGAUGAGUCUUACAUCACCUGAUAUUUGUGCGUCUGAGCCUAAAGAAAACGUCAGGGCUUAAAGAGAAGAAGAAUGUGAGAUCUUAGAAAGUCCUAUAUAUAUAAGAUAUAAUAGGACUAAAAUUUUAAUCGGGAUAUAACAUUUUGGACGGUAAUUAGGUUCAAGAGGGUAAGAGAGUUAAACGUGCUAGGGUUAGAGUAGUUUUAGAAUAGAUGACCCCAUGAAAAGUGGGGCGUCAUAUG